rnacentral:rRNA from 1 species
AUAAACCUUGAUGAUAAAUUACAAAUAUCAUCCGCCAGGGAACUACAAGCGCAUUGCUCGAAACCCAACGGACUUGGCGGUGCCCCACACCCACCUAGAGGAGCCUGUUCUAUAACUGACAAUCCCCGUUCAACCUCACCACUCCUAGCCCCAUCAGUCUAUAUACCACCGUCGUAAGCUCACCCUGUGAAGGACUAACAGUAAGCAAAAUGGGCACAACCCAAAACGUCAGGUCGAGGUGUAGCACAUGGAGUGGGAAGAAAUGGGCUACAUUUUCUGCCUACAGAAUAUYACGAACAACGUCAUGAAACUGCCGUUUAAAGGAGGAUUUAGCAGUAAAAAGAAAACAGAGAGUUCUUUUGAAGCCG